UGCUAAACAAAUAGCAACAGAAUAACAACAAACAGCUGUUCUAUUAUGCACCGAUCAUGACACUUUACUAUGCUUGAACUUUUGAGCUCUUAGCUUUUUUACGCUCUCACUGCGUACGCGUGCUCAUAGAAUCUCUUUGGUGCUUAUGUGACGCUUUCAUUGUUUUCGCCUUUUAUCUACUUCUGCCAACUGCUGCGCUGUGCGGACGAGAUUUCUUUUUCGUCCAUUUCGAGCAUUUCCCAAACAUCCGGCUCUGUAUUUGGUUUAUGCGCUUAUUUGUACUCUUUUUCUCACACCUUUUAUGCAGUCCACAGCUUUUCAUUUCCUUCAGCUUCAGCUGCGUGAGUGUGUGUGUGCAGUAUGUGUGUCUACCGGUGCUUUUCCUUUUAUUUAUAGCUUUUUUCUCUCAAUUUGUUUUUGCCAUUUCAUUUUGUGUGAUUGCCCAUUCAGUGAUCGUCGUUUGCUUGUUUUGCUAUUGUUGUUAGCGGUACCUACCUACCACUUGUCGCUGCUGGUUGCCGUGAACUGAGUACGAAUUCAAACGUCUCGCGCAUACUGUCGCAAUCAAGCGCCUGAGUUAUACACGCGCGCGUCUAUUAUUAUUUGCCAGACGUUAUUUUUGUUGUUGAUUUGUCGGUCUAUGGUUACUUCUAAUUUUUGCGGAACUAAUGAAAAUGAAAUGUGAAAAAAACCAUAAUAAAUUGAAUUGUAGUGAUUCGUUAAAGUGCUAAGAUCUGUUACUAACCGAAAACAAUUUAUUAAAAAAAA